rnacentral:rRNA from 1 species
AACGAACGCUGGCGGCAUGCCUAACACAUGCAAGUCGAACGAGACCUUCGGGUCUAGUGGCGCACGGGUGCGUAACGCGUGGGAACCUGCCCUUAGGUUCGGAAUAACUCCCCGAAAGGGGUGCUAAUACCGGAUAAUGUCUUCGGACCAAAGAUUUAUCGCCUUUGGAUGGGCCCGCGUUGGAUUAGCUAGUUGGUAGGGUAAAAGCCUACCAAGGCGACGAUCCAUAGCUGGUCUGAGAGGAUGAUCAGCCACACUGGGACUGAGACACGGCCCAGACCCCUACGGGGGGCAGCAGGGGGGAAUAUUGGACAAGGGGGGAAAGCCUGAUCCAGCAAUGCCGGGGGGGUGAUGAAGGCCUUGGGGUUGUAAAGCUCUUUUACCCGGGAUGAUAAGGACAGUACCGGGAGAAUAAGCCCCGGCUAACCCCGU